rnacentral:rRNA from 1 species
UGGGGAAUUUUGGACAAUGGGGGAAACCCUGAUCCAGCCAUCCCGCGUGUGCGAUGAAGGCCUUCGGGUUGUAAAGCACUUUUGGCAGGAAAGAAACGUCGCGGGUUAAUACCCCGCGAAACUGACGGUACCUGCAGAAUAAGCACCGGCUAACUACGUGCCAGCAGCCGCGGUAAUACGUAGGGUGCAAGCGUUAAUCGGAAUUACUGGGCGUAAAGCGUGCGCAGGCGGUUCGGAAAGAAAGAUGUGAAAUCCCAGAGCUUAACUUUGGAACUGCGUUUUUAACUACCGGGCUAGAGUGUGUCAGAGGGAGGUGGAAUUCCGCGUGUAGCAGUGAAAUGCGUAGAUAUGCGGAGGAACACCGAUGGCGAAGGCAGCCUCCUGGGAUAACACUGACGCUCAUGCACGAAAGCGUGGGGAGCAAACAGGAUUAGAUACCCUGGUAGUCCACGCCCUAAACGAUGUCAACUAGCUGUUGGGGCCUUCGGGCCUUGGUAGCGCAGCUAACGCGUGAAGUUGACCGCCUGGGGAGUACGGUCGCAAGAUUAAAACUUAAAUGAAUUGACGGGGGUCAUAGCUGUUU